UGUACGUAAUAGCUUUAUCGUUAUCCGCCGCAAUAAUGACUGCGUGGACUGCGCGGGGAUUUCACACGCAAAGGUCGUUUGGCGUUUAUAAGAGAUGCCGAUCCCCGGAACAAAGUUUGCCAAACUCGCGGUCCUUUAAAUUAUACAGACGACAAUAAUAUUAUAUUAUACGUGCGCACAAUUGCCACCCGAAUGUACAGAGAAGUUUUGCGCUUUCAAGAAAACACGAUACGUUUUCCGAAAACGCAUAUACCCAGUUAUUCGCGGCAGAAAGCAAACGUGUCGACACCUGGUGACGCCGGCGAGAAAUUCCGUAGCGGGGUUGAAUUCUACAUCGCAUUUUAUUUCUUAUCGAUCUACGUUCAGUGGCGUCUGUACCGAUUACGACCACAACCAGUUGGCGAAAUAAGCGGCAGAG